CGGAGGGUCAUGGCUUCCUAGCCAUGGUUGACCAUGGUCUGAAACCACGAAAAGCGAAACCAUGGAGACUGUCACCAGUAAAACAUAAGCUUCUGGCUUUUACUUUAAAGGAAAGAUGCCAGCUUCUCAGCUCAUCCUUUAAUUGCCUUCUACGUAAUAGGAGAGGUUGUUAGUAUAGAGAACAAGCCAGAACAGGGAUAGGGAAGCCAACUGCUCUCGAUUCCGACCAUGGAAAGUUCACUGGGAGGCGUGGUUUGAAUCCAACCAGAGGAUGCAGGAGACUGGAGAAGAUUUCCCUUUCGCUUCAGGCCCACAGCAAAGUACAUUGCCCUCUUUCCUUUGCGAAGCAACCACCGAGCACUUCUCAGAGAAAUGCCGCAAAGAUGCCUCAGCCUCGAACAAGAGUCCUUCGCCACGGCCUGUUCUCCCUCAGCCCCGAGAUACCAGAGUAAAGAAGGGAACACCGAGAAGUCUGUCCUGGGAUGCAGGACACAUAGGCCUUGAGCCUGAGAGUUGCUGAGGCCUCAGCACAGAGUGCCAGAGUAUUCCGUAGCUGCACAUCUUUCACCAGACAGCCAGGUGGCAUUCAGGCGAAUGCAAGUGUGGCGUGACAUAAGGACUCAGGAUUGGGACGCCGAUGUCCGGGGCCCUGGAACUGUGCAGCGGCAUUGUGGUCCCCAUGCCCUCAGCCUCGGAACCACAGUGCACACAGACCAGCCUUCCGAAUGCCUGAAUCUCUACACUGCGUGGCUUUGCCGGAGGGAGUUCUCUGAAUAUCUCCCCGUGACAGACCGAAGCACCUGAGAAUGAAUAUCUCCCCCCCCCCCCACCUCUGUGGUGGUCUUCAACCCAAAACCAUCAGGAACUGGGGUCUGCAGCUCCCUUCUCCCUCAGGUGCAGGAACUCCAAGUGCCGGCCCAGAGAGGGACCGAGGCCAGCGUGUCCACACCCGAGCCAGGAAAGGGCGGAGCCACCAGCCAUAGAGCCUGAAGCAGGAAGCAGAGCCCCUGGGGACAGAAGGCUGCCACACCACUGCCCUGAUCCCAGGCUUCCAGCACAGGCUCCACAAAUAUGAAAGCACUCAAACGGAAUUCCCUGAGAGCACCAGGAAUGUGGCUUCCAAUGAAGAUGGUCGUCUCUUGCCGGGGAAUAGGACACGAAGCUUCUUGACAUCUGCAGAUUUCCAAUGUCCACUUUGAGGGCCCACCCAUCAGAGCACUGUGGCAGCAGGAGUGUGGCCGAGAUUAGAGGUUGAAGGCAGCUUUGUCGAAGUGAGCUACUGGCCUCGUCAGACCUGCUGAGGGGGUGAAGUGCGCAGGGGCGAAUAAACCCUGCCAUCAAAAAUGUCACCUUCAUCCGUGAGACAACAAGGCAGUCAUGAAUCGUGGUCACUGUCUGCCAUCCCCAACUUCCUAGGCACCGAGUGGCACAGCCUUUUCCAGUAUCGGAGAAACUUCCAAUCCUG